rnacentral:misc_RNA from 1 species
GAUGAAGAACGUAGCAAAAUGCGAUAAGUAAUGUGAAUUGCAGAAUUCAGUGAAUCAUCGAAUCUUUGAACGCACCUUGCGCCCUUUGGCUAUUCCGAAGGGCAUGCCUGUUUGAGUAUCAUGAACAUCUCAACUCCUCACGGUUCGCCCGUGACGAGCUUGGACUUUGGGGGUCUUGCCGGCCUGCGGGUCGGCUCCUCUCAAAUGAAUCAGCUUGCCGGUGUUUGGUGGCGUCACAGGUGUGAUAAAUAUCUACGCUUGUGGUUUUCCGCCAGGUAACCUCCAGCGAUGGGGGUUCACUGGAGCUCACGAAUGUCUCUCCUCGGUGAGGACAGCUCUUUGAACGUUUGAUCUCAAAUCAGGUAGGGCUACCCGCUGAACUUAAGCAUAUCAAUAAGCGGAGGA